GGCUGCGCAAGCGGCGGCAGCGGGAGCUCCAGCGAGUGCCAGCAACUGAGGAAGGGCAGAGAAGGCCAGAAAGACCAGGAAACCUGCUGCAGAGACAGGCUUUUGGAGUUAGAGCAUCUGCACCUUUAGAAGCUGUGCUGAAGCCUUGAUAGGCAGCAUCUGCGAUGUGAGGGAAGGCACCUCCACCAGGUGGUUGAUGUGUGGUUUUGGUUGUGUG